GACGAACGCUGGCGGCGUGCUUAACACAUGCCAGUCGAACGGAAAGGCCCUGCUUUUGUGGGGUGCUCGAGUGGCGAACGGGUGAGUAACACGUGAGUAACCUGCCCUUGACUUUGGGAUAACUUCAGGAAACUGGGGCUAAUACCGGAUAGGAGCUCCUGCUGCAUGGUGGGGGUUGGAAAGUUUCCGCGGUUGGGGAUGGACUCGCGGCUUAUCAGCUUGUUGGUGGGGUAGUGGCUUACCAAGGCUUCGACGGGUAGCCGGCCUGAGAGGGUGACCGGCCACAUUGGGACUGAGAUACGGCCCAGACUCCUACGGGAGGCAGCAGUGGGGAAUAUUGCACGAUGGGCGGAAGCCUGAUGCAGCAACGCCGCGUGCGGGAUGACGGCCUUCGGGUUGUAAACCGCUUUCGCCUGUGACGAAGCGUGAGUGACGGUAAUGGGUAAAGAAGCACCGGCUAACUACGUG
rnacentral:rRNA from 1 species